AAACCAUGCAUUGGGCAUUUUUUAAUUAACUUCUUGAAUAGCUCUCAUGCUUCAUAUAAUGUUUCAUCCUCAAGUUAUCGAAAGGACAUAAUAUCAUUUCUUAAUUU
rfam:Gossypium raimondii chromosome 6, whole genome shotgun sequence.